UUUGCUGAGACAUACUUCUUGGAAAUUAAAAGUGAUAGACAAAUUAAAUAUGACGUUCAUUGGAUAUAUGAAAUAUAUCAUAUUAUUGUCACUGUUCCAGGAUAAGUGCUUGCUCUUCAGUGGAAAGAACAGGGGCACAACUAAGAAAAAAAUGGAAUGAUUAUAAAUCUCAGGUGAAAAGAAGAGCCAUGGAUGUCAGAAAAGAAUCAUCCAAAACCGGAGGUGGUCCAGCUCCAGUACCUCUGACUGAUCUGGAAUUUAAAGUUGUAUCACUGAUUCCACAGUGCCAAAUUGAAGGGAUAACUGGUGGAUUGGAGUCUGAGGUUGAUGAAAUUUUUCAAACACUGAACAUGGUCAGUGAUAGUGGCCUUCCCACAGAAGACUACUU